rnacentral:rRNA from 1 species
GAUGAACGCUGGCGGCGUGCUUAACACAUGCAAGUCGAACGAAGCAUUUAAGACAGAUUACUUCGGUUUGAGGUCUUUUAUGACUGAGUGGCGGACGGGUGAGUAACGCGUGGGUAACCUGCCUCAUACAGGGGGAUAGCAGCUGGAAACGGCUGGUAAUACCGCAUAAGCGCACAGUACCACAUGGUACAGUGUGAAAAACUCCGGUGGUAUGAGAUGGACCCGCGUCUGAUUAGCUUGUUGGCGGGGUAACGGCCCACCAAGGCGACGAUCAGUAGCCGACCUGAGAGGGUGACCGGCCACAUUGGGACUGAGACACGGCCCAGACUCCUACGGGAGGCAGCAGUGGGGAAUAUUGCACAAUGGAGGAAACUCUGAUGCAGCGACGCCGCGUGAGUGAAGAAGUAGUUCGCUAUGUAAAGCUCUAUCAGCAGGGAAGAUAGUGACGGUACCUGGCUAAGAAGCUCCGGCUAAAUACGUG